GGAGGGGUGCCGGAGCGGUUGAUCGGGCCGGUCUUGAAAACCGGUAGGCGGCUUGUCCGUCUCGCGGGUUCGAAUCCCGCCCCCUCCA
rnacentral:tRNA from 1 species